GCCAGGUUGCUCAGUGGUUAGAGCAGGUGCACAUAUACUUAGAGGUUUAUGCCUCGAUGCAGAGGUCCAGGGUUCGAAUCCGACCUGUGA
rnacentral:tRNA from 1 species